AACACUGUUAACCUGCGGUACCUGCGGAGGGAUCAUUAUAGUAUAUGGAAUCUCCAUUCUAUAGACCCACUCUGCGUAUCUUGUAACUGUUGCUUCCAUGGGACUUGGUUCCGCCACACCGGCUUCACGGCUGGUGAGCGCCCAUGGAAGGAGAAACAAAACUCUUCUUUGAAAUGUAGUCAGUCUGAACAAGUUUUUAUAAACGUUAAAACUUUUAACAACGGAUCUCAGAUCGGAAGA
rnacentral:misc_RNA from 1 species